UAUUAAAACUUUUAUUCAUUUUUACGGUUAAAAAGCGAGAUUGUUGACAAAAUAGUCAAGUAAUGACACAUAGUAUGUCACGUGCACCUCAUUUUGACAUACAUAGGUCGAUUUUUAACAGUAAAAAUUGAUAGAAUUUUCAAUG
rfam:Gossypium hirsutum cultivar TM-1 chromosome 9, whole genome shotgun sequence